rnacentral:lncRNA from 1 species
CAGAUUUCGUGCCUAGGAGGCUAAGGGUUCAGGUGUAUGCCAGAUCACAGAGGGAUGGGUUGCAAACCCAGCUCGAGUGUGCUCCGGCCUAAUGGUGGUCCGAAUGUUUGUCCAAGCGUCGCUUAGCCCUCCUCGGCAGCUCCUGCUGUGCCUCCCGGGCCGGAAUCCCCUCUUCUUUCCUCAGAUCCCCUCUGAAGCAGCUGGGGGCUCAUCUGAGAAACUUCUCAUCCUUGAGGAGUGGUCAGCUAGGAGAGGAAGAAGGGAUGGUGUGGAGCCCACCCAUGGCCUAAGGAGCCAGUGUAGUCCACAGCCUGUGGGACCAGGAGCCUCCAGGUGGGCGACUCAAGAAGAAUCGAUGCUUCAGCCCCCAGCGACAUGUACACGGUGUAAUGACAGAUGGUGAUGCAUGUUCUCUGGAAACAGCUUGGCUGGGGCUCACCAGCUGGGUUAUGGAGUCAGCAGUCACUUACAGUUCUGGGGGCUGACUUCAGCCAGUUCCUGAAGCUCCCUGAGCCUUACUGAAAGUGGGACUAAUAAUUUCUAUCUUACUGGGUAACUAUGAAAAUGAAAAUAAAUAAUGAAUAAUUGCUCGGUGAAACUUGGUGUUGAGAAAUACUUCUUUUUAUUUUCCCUACAUCAAAUGAAAAUAAAUCUAAAGUCUUACUAAGUUUCCUAGCAGGCAUUUCUGUAGCUCUGUCUCCACCUUUCUAGUGCAUGAGAAACUUGGGGGUUUGGCAGGUGAGGAAAAAUGGGGAGAGUUGAGUGAGGCCUGCACCUAAGCCUACUGUGCUAGAGCUGCCCUUGGCCCUCCUGACGCAGCCACGUGUGGUUAUCUGGAGGAGGCAACCCCAGCAGCUGGCUUCAGUGCCUUGAUGCCAGCUCUGCCAUGGAAGAUGCUGGGCCCUGGCCAUCGUCUCAGGGGUGUCUACAUCCCCCAAGUGCAUUCCAGAGUGGUAAAAGUUGCAGGGC